UUGCUUCUCUCUCUGUCUGUAUAGAAAUUAUUUCAAUUUGAACAUUUUCUGUGAAACCAAAAUGGGAGAUGUCGUCCUUGAAACCCCAAGCAUGGCGAGAGAAGGAGAUGAAGAAGAAGCUCUGUCUCAAACUCAGCCCUUGCUGGAGACUCAAAACCAGUUACUGCUUCGUCGAUGCGCUUCCAACACUACUUCUCAGGUCGCAAUUGUCGGCUCCAACGUUUGCCCCAUCGAGAGUUUGGAUUACGAGUUGAUUGAGAAUGAUUUCUUCAAGCAAGAUUGGAGGAGCCGUGAUAAGAUCCAGAUUUUUCAGUAUUUAUUCAUGAAAUGGCUACUCUGUUUCCUUAUAGGCGUUUUUGCUGCCCUAGUUGGAUUCUUUAACAAUCUUGCCAUCGAGAAUGUUGCUGGAAUGAAGUUUGUCAUCACAUCGGAUAUGAUGUUGGAGCAUAGGUACGCUAUGGCCUUCUCGGUUUUUGCGUCUUGCAACUUAGCUCUCAUUUUGUUUGCAUCCUUAAUUACUAGUUUUCUAGCGCCUGCUGCCGCUGGUUCGGGUAUACCUGAAAUCAAGGCUUAUCUGAAUGGUGUUGAUGCUCCGGGAAUCCUGUCUAAGAGGACUCUGUUCGUAAAGAUUAUUGGUAGCAUUACAGCAGUAUCUUCAUCUCUAAAUGUGGGAAAGGCAGGACCCCUGGUGCAUACUGGUGCAUGCAUUGCGGCCUUACUAGGUCAGGGUGGGUCAAAGAGGUAUGGUUUAACAUGGAGAUGGCUACGCUUCUUCAAGAAUGACAGAGAUAGGCGUGAUCUUGUAACCUGUGGAGCAGCUGCCGGAAUUGCUGCUGCUUUCCGUGCACCAGUUGGUGGUGUUCUGUUUGCUUUCGAAGAAAUGGCAUCAUGGUGGAGAAGUGCCCUACUUUGGAGAGCAUUCUUCACAACAGCUGUGGUUGCUAUCGUUCUCCGUGCUCUGAUUGACAUUUGUAUCAAGGGAAAAUGUGGCUUAUUUGGUAAAGGAGGGCUGAUAAUGUUCAAUGUGACCUCAGAUGUUAUAUAUCACCUUUCGGAUGUACCUGUUGUUCUAGUUCUUGGAGUUAUUGGGGGUGUUUUGGGAAGUUUUUAUAAUUUUCUUCUGCGGAAGGUCCUCCGAUUAUACAAUCUAAUCAAUGGGAAAGGACAUGCUUACAGAAUAGUUCUUGCUUGCUCAAUAUCCAUAUUCACAUCCUGUUGUUUAUUUCUAUUACCAUGGCUUGCAUCUUGCCGACCUUGCCCCACUGAUGAAUCAGAAGCAUGUCCAACAAUUGGAAGGUCCGGUAACUACAAGAAGUUCCAAUGUCCUCCAGGUCAAUACAAUGAUCUCGCCAGCCUGUUCUUCAACACAAAUGAUGAUGCAAUUAGAAACCUUUUCAGCAAGAACACAGAUGCUGAAUUCCACCCUGUGUCAAUCCUCAUCUUUUUUGUAACUUGCUAUUUUCUUGGCAUCUUGGGCUAUGGGGUUGUGGCUCCUUCAGGUCUGUUUGUGCCUGAAAUUGUGACAGGGGCAGGAUACGGGCGCUUUGUUGGAAUGCUGAUGAAGUCACACUCGAAUCUCAACCACGGCCUCUUUGCUGUGUUGGGUUCUGCUUCCCUUCUUGGUGGAUCAAUGAGGAUGACUGUGUCCUUAUGUAUUAUUCUCUUGGAACUGACAAAUAAUCUGCUAAUGCUGCCCCUGAUGAUGCUGGUUCUUCUUGUCUCAAAGACCGUAGCUGACACUUUUAAUAGCAACAUAUAUGACAUUAUUAUGAAUAUGAAAGGGCUUCCUUAUCUAAAAACUCAUGCAGAGCCAUACAUGAGGCAACUGUCAGUUAGUGAUGUUGUCACAGGGCCACUUCAGAUCCUCAAUGGCACUGAAAAGGUCAGCAAUAUAGUACACGUCCUCAAAACCACAAGACACCAUGGGUUCCCCGUGAUUGAUGAACCUCCAAUUUCAGAUUCCUCACUAUUGUACGGUCUAAUCCUCCGUACCCACCUUAUUGUUUUGUUAAAGAGGAAAGUCUUCCUGCCUACCCCUGUUCCUACUGUCAUUGAUAUCACAGAACAGUUCUCUGCUGAUGAUUUUGCAAAGAAGGGUUCAGGUAAUAGUGACAAGAUAGAAGACAUAGAAUUGACUGAGGAAGAAAUGGAGAUGUUCGUAGAUUUGCAUCCAUUUACAAAUGCUUCGCCGUAUACGGUAGUAGAAACAAUGUCACUUGCAAAGUCUCUCACACUUUUCCGAGAAAUUGGUUUGAGGCACCUGUUGGUGGUACCCAAGGGCACUAGUGUAAGUAAUCCUGUCUAAUUUGUUUAAUUUACAGCCAAUCCUGCCAUCUAGGAAUGAGAUAAUCUGAGAAUAAGCAUAAGCAAAACUGCAAUGCACCUGCCACAUAAAGUGCCUUCCAUGAUGGUCCCAUUCGAUCUAGCUUUUCCUUCUUCGACAGAAGAAAUUGAUAGUUGACCGUGGAAGGUUCAGGUGCGAUAGCACCCAACAUUAAGAUUUCUUCCUCUUAAUGUGGCUAUAUGAACUGCCAUUCUAGUGAGAUAUCCAGUCACAGGCAUAUUAACGAGGCAUGAUUUUAUGCCUGACCAUAUUUUGGGGUUGCAUCCUUCCCUAGUAAGAAGCAGGUGGCAGAGACUAAGAUUCCAGUCUUGCGG